GGACAGGGCUGGGGACAGGCUGGGGACAGGCUGGGGACAGGCUGGGGGUGCGGGGGGGCCGCUCUCCGUUUUCCCGUCGCUUUCUCGGUGCCGCCGCUCCCGGGGGUGGGGCGGGUCGGGGGUGCCCCACAUUUUGUCGCCCACCUCGUCCCCACAGCCGGCUGCGGGAAGGGCGGGGACACCGCCCCGAGCCCCCCCGGGACACCCCCGUGCCCCUUCCCCGGGGACAUCGCCACGGGCACCGCGGGUGCCGCGGGAGGAGGCCGGGAGUGCCCAGCCCUGCCCAGCCCCACCUGAGGAGGGAAUUUGUGGGGUCUCAGCGCUGCUGCUGGGGGGGCACCCCCCAAUCCCACCCCCCCGGGAAGGGUUUGAUGUUCCCUGGCCGUGCUGGUCGCCGCCGACACGGGAUUUUGGGGAGCCCCAACCCCCCUGGCAGAGCCUGGAGAGGCCAAAUUUCCUCCUCCCCACCUCCAGGGAGCAUCGGGGGUGAUUUAGGGGGAGAAUUUGGGGGACAAAUUUGGGGCGUGCCCCCCAUCUCUUGUCCAGGGAUGGCGCCGUCUCGGGGGGUGUGGGCAUGCAGGGGGGUGGCCAGGCUGGGCUCGCUCCAGGGCCACCACCCGCCCCCUCGGGACCCCCGACCGCCUCCCACUGUCCUGUCAGGUGUGACCCCCCCCGGCUGCCCCCAGGCGCGGUUUUGGGGUGCCCAGGCCCCCACACGGGGUCCCCAAUGCUGGGCGUGCCGUGGGGCCGAACCCAGGACUGGCAGAACCGGGGGGGAUUUUGGGGUGCGGGGGCUCCCCCAAACCCCCGGCGGAGCCCCGAGGGCGCGGCCCGCUCACACAUCCGCAGCGGGUCCCUCCGCGUGCGGGAUGAGCAGGCUAAUCCCGCGUUAAUCCCGGAUUACGAGCCACGUGAGGCGCGGCCCGAGCGGGCUGCGGGGUGGCCAUCGGGGCAGGGGGGCGGGCAAGGAGCCCCCCGCCAUCCCCGGCAGUUUUGGGGUUCAGCUCAUGUCUCCCCCCUCUCCGCGGGGCUCGGGUCUCCUGGCAGGGCCGGGGGACAGCGGCGUUGGCCCGGAUUCCGCGGAUGGGAGGACCCGAGGAGGUGGAAAUGCCUCCUUCAUCUCCAUCCGCCCCGGGAUGGGGCGGGCGGGUUGUUGUUACCCCCCCAUCCAGGGAAACUGAGGCACGGAGCAUCGCCGUGCCCGCGGCAGCUCCAUGCCAGCCACGGAAAAUCGCCCGGGGCUGGCAGCUGGUGGCUUUUGAGGCCACCGAGGUGCCCGGGAGCGAUCGAUAGGCACGGGCUCGCUGCCGCGGGGAUGGCAGCGGCGCAAACAGGACAAAGGAGGAACCGGACACCGGCGGGCCGCGGCUCGGGGACCCGCGAGCUGCCCGUGGCUCGCCGCUGUCGCGAUCAGGUUGCCGGUGGGGCCCCGCGUGUGGCGGUGCCUCGGUUUCCCCGAGGGAACACCCGAGCCCGGCGUCGGCGCCCAGAGGGAUGUGGAGCCACAGAGGCAGCGGAGCCCGUGACUGACACAGCCCGGCCGGCCCCAGCUGAAUGGAAAGACUGCAGAAGCAGCCUCUGACCUCCCCUGGGAGCGUCUGCUCUUCCCGCGGAUCCAGCGUUCCCGGCUCUCCCUCCAGCAUCGUGGCCAAAAUGGACAACGAGGUCCUGGGCUACAGGACCACAUAAAAAAUUCCCUUCUUUACCCCAAAUGAAGGUGUUUUCCCUUCAUUCCAUGUCAAAAUGGACAAUGAGGUCCUGGGCUAUGAGGACCUCAUAAAAAUUCCUUUCUGUGCCCCAAAUGAAGAUGUUUUUCCUUCAUUCCAGGCCAAAAUGGACAACGAGGUCCUGGGAUAAAAGGACCUUGUAAAAAAUCCCCUUCUGCACCCCAAAUAAAGGCAUUUUCCUUCAUUCUAGGCCAAAAUGGACAACGAGGUCCUUGGCUAUGAGUACCUUGUAAAAAAUUCCUUGCUGCAUCCCAAAUAAAAGCAUUUUCCCUCCUUUCCACGCCAAAAUAGACAACGAGGUUCUGGAUACAGGACCUCAUAAAAAAAUUCCUUCUGCACCCCAAAUGAAGAUUUUUUCUCUUCAUUCCAGACCAAAAUGGACAAUGAGGUCCUGGGCUAUGAGGACCUCAUAAAAAUUCCUUUCUGAGCCCCAAAUGAAGGCUUCCUUCCUUCCUUCCUUCCUUCCUUCCUUCCUUCC